rnacentral:rRNA from 1 species
GACGAACGCUGGCGGCGUGCUUAACACAUGCAAGUCGAGCGGUAAGGCCCUUUCGGGGGUACACGAGCGGCGAACGGGUGAGUAACACGUGGGUGACCUGCCCUCAGCUCUGGGAUAAGCCUGGGAAACCGGGUCUAAUACCGGAUAUGACUCCAUGACGCAUGUUGUGGGGUGGAAAGCCUUGUGCGGCUGAGGAUGGGCCCGCGGCCUAUCAGCUUGUUGGUGGGGUGANGGCCUGCCAAGGCGACGACGGGUAGCCGGCCUGAGAGGGCGACCGGCCACACUGGGACUGAGACACGGCCCAGACUCCUACGGGAGGCAGCAGUGGGGAAUCUUGCGCAAUGGGCGAAAGCCUGACGCAGCGACGCCGCGUGAGGGAUGACGGCCU